GUAGGUGAACCUGCGGAAGGAUCAUUACAAAUCCAAAACAAUUACCCGUUAAAAUGUUCUCGGCCUUGGAAACAUGAUUGUCUCAUCGUCAUUAAAAGUCGAUGAUACAUCAUAGUUAGCGUUGUAUGGGUGCGUGAUGAGAGUGAGGUCAGUCUUGUUCAUUCGAACAUUUCGAUAGACAAACCGACGUAUUCUCUUCAACCACGUGCACAUAUCUAGCCCUAACACCAAGGCUCGAAUUAAUGACUUU
rnacentral:misc_RNA from 1 species